AUUCAAGAAGCAGGAGGCGAGCGGGACAAGGGGAGGACUCUCCAGAGCGUUUGACUGGGUCAUUCUCACAGGAACAAGGGAAGUGCCCAAUGCACUUCACCUGCCACUGGAUUUCUCUCCGCUGAAGCACAAUCUACAUUCACUGCAGCAAAGAUUCGACAAUUGCACUGCUGCUUUUUAACCAGGCCUACGCUGCGUCCAUCUAGAAGCAGAGUCUGAAGCCUCCGAAGGACGGCACGAAACACCCAGAUGCAGGUCUUGCUCACAACAGGACGUACAUAGCUGCCCUUGGACAUGACAGACAUGGUUAGCAGUUAUGAUAACUUUUUGAGAACUGGAAACACAUCUCUCUAAGCCCCUCUGUUUUUUAAGAAUUCUAUUGAAAACCAGCUAUCAUGGUGAGGACUUGCCUUCCUAUGAACUUGAUCUUCCUUUCUGGCGGUUUUCAAUAUUAUUUCUUUGCUCUGUAUAUUCAGUGUUUUAACUAUAAUAUGACAUGUGCAAUUUC